UCAAAUGCAAAGGGAGUGAAAGAGGGCCAACAAAAUAAUGCCUAGAUUUAGGGAAAAAAAAACUCCUUUCUGUUUUAAGUUCUAUACUUCAAUAGGUGGGAACAUGGAUAUAUGAUGAAAUGACUUAUUGGUUGUGGUUAAGUGCAUAAGUGUUGGUUUUUUCAUAGUACAACAAUUAAACCUUGUCUCCAUGGAUAAGGUCAACUACAUAGAUGAUAAUUGAUAAAUCAAUUUAUGCCAAUAGUAUUUGUUAUUUGGUUUUUAUACAGAAGCAACUAAAAGAUGCAUCGAGAUGUUACAGGAAGUCAUGUUCGUUUCUGUUUUGCUUCAGCAAAGUAUUGGCUUGAGAUAAGACAAGUUUGAAGAAAUACUGAAAGACUAAACUAGUUGAAAUGAAAACAAAGAAAUCAAAGUGGAAAAAUGCACAAAACCCUCUAGGUUAUAUAGAACUGAAACCACAUAUAAAGCACCAAAUUAGCAAGAGCAGGAUAAGAAAUGAUAAGUUGAUUAAGAGGCAAAAAGUUACAGAGAGUUGAGCAUAUGCAGUGUAAAAGGAGUAAAUAGAAGAGAAAGUCUGUCACAAAGUCAAAUCAAUAGCUUAAGAGGAGUUGCUUAAUGAUGGGCAAAGAUUCAAAACUAAAAAUUCAGGUUUGUCAUAUGAUGAGGGGCGAAUGAUAAAAUAUGGAUGAGC
rnacentral:lncRNA from 1 species